rnacentral:rRNA from 1 species
GUGAAAUUGUUGAAAGGGAAACGAUUGAAGUCAGUCAUGCUAAUAGGGAAUCAACUUGAUGGGUCGUUACCCCCGGGGAGCAAUCUUUCUGUGAAAUUGUUGAAAGGGAAACGACUUGAAGUCAGUCGUGCCGCGGGGGGAGUUCAGCGAACUUCGCGGAGUGAGCGUAUUUCCUCGCAUGGCAGGUCAGCGUCAGUUUUGCGCGUCGUGAAAGGGCUCGGGUAAGGUGACUCUCUUCGGGGAGUGUUAUAGGCCUGAGCAGAUGCGAUGCGCGGGGACUGAGGAUUGCAGCGGACACCCUUCGGGGGCGCGGCGACCGAUCCCUGCUCUGUCACCUGUGUCCGAUAGCGUGCUAACGGAUGUGGGAGCGGCGGUUCACCGGACUGGAAUGCCAGCGGUUUGCUUAGGACGCUGACGUAAUGGCUUUAAACGAC